rnacentral:rRNA from 1 species
AUUGAACGCUGGCGGCAGGCCUAACACAUGCAAGUCGAGCGGUAACAGGAAUUAGCUUGCUAAUUUGCUGACGAGCGGCGGACGGGUGAGUAAUGCCUAGGGAACUGCCCAGUCGAGGGGGAUAACAGUUGGAAACGACUGCUAAUACCGCAUACGCCCUACGGGGGAAAAGAGGGGACCUUCGGGCCUUCUGCGAUUGGAUGUACCUAGGUGGGAUUAGCUAGUUGGUGAGGUAAUGGCUCACCAAGGCGACGAUCCCUAGCUGUUCUGAGAGGAUGAUCAGCCACACUGGGACUGAGACACGGCCCAGACUCCUACGGGAGGCAGCAGUGGGGAAUAUUGCACAAUGGGCGCAAGCCUGAUGCAGCCAUGCCGCGUGUGUGAAGAAGGCCUUCGGGUUGUAAAGCACUUUCAGCGAGGAGGAAAGCUUAAGCGUUAAUAGCGUUUAGGUGUGACGUUACUCGCAGAAGAAGGACCGGCUAACUUCGUGCCAGCAGCCGCGGUAAUACGAGGGGUCCAAGCGUUAAUCGGAAUUACUGGGCGUAAAGCGUACGCAGGCGGUUUGUUAAGCGAGAUGUGAAAGCCCCGGGCUCAACCUGGGAAUAGCAUUUCGAACUGGCAGACUAGAGUCUUGUAGAGGGGGGUAGAAUUUCAGGUGUAGCGGUGAAAUGCGUAGAGAUCUGAAGGAAUACCGGUGGCGAAGGCGGCCCCCUGGACAAAGACUGACGCUCAGGUACGAAAGCGUGGGGAGCAAACAGG